rnacentral:rRNA from 1 species
AGCAGCCGCGGUAAUUCCAGCUCCAAUAGCGUAUAUUAAAGUUGUUGUGGUUAAAAAGCUCGUAGUUGAACCUUGGGCCUGGCUAGCCGGUCCGCCUCACCGCGUGUACUGGUCCGGCCGGGCCUUUCCCUCUGUGGAACCCCGUGCCCUUCACUGGGUGUGGCGGGGAAACAGGACUUUUACUGUGAAAAAAUUAGAGUGCUCCAGGCAGGCCUAUGCUCGAAUACAUUAGCAUGGAAUAAUAGAAUAGGACGUGUGGUUCUAUUUUGUUGGUUUCUAGGACCGCCGUAAUGAUUAAUAGGGACAGUCGGGGGCAUCAGUAUUCAAUUGUCAGAGGUGAAAUUCUUGGAUUUAUUGAAGACUAACUACUGCGAAAGCAUUUGCCAAGGAUGUUUUCAUUAAUCAGAACGAAAGUUAGGGGAUCGAAGACGAUCAGAUACCGUCGUAGUCUUAACCAUAAACUAUG